rnacentral:misc_RNA from 1 species
CAGGAACCGUAACCAGCGGUUCCUAAACUAUGGCCACCUCUACUUGGAGCAUAACCUAGUGAAGCAUCUAAAAUAGAGACACAAGGAAAGUAACGACUCUUCAAAAUCCUUGAAACCAAAGACAACGGCUGUUUGAGGAUUCUCCAAACAUUCUUAAGUAGCAUUGCCACAUUGAACUCAUUAAACAUCCGAAAACCCAGGCCACCAAGAGACUUCGUAGUUGUGAAAUUUUCCCAGCUUCUCCAAUGUAUCCAUCUUGAUGCAUCAUUAUGAACCCACCAAAUUCGAGCUAUAAGUUGCUCAAUUUCCCUGCAAAGAGACAAGGGUAACAGAAAACAGGACACAGUGUAAGUAGGGAUAGAUUGUGGCACUGCUUUAAUCAAGACUUCUCGAUCCGCUGUGGACAGAGAUGACCCACGCCAACUCUGUAAUCUAGCCCAAACUCGGUGCUUUAACAUCUGGAAGACCGUCUUCUUGGACUUGCCAAGUAAUAACACUAGCUUCUUCAAUUGUGGCUUUACCAAAUAAUAUGCUGUCAUUAGCAAAGAAAAAGUGUAUCACAGAUGGUGCUUUCCUAUCAAUUCGGACGCCAUGUAACUGACCACUUGCUUCCGCCCUUCUAAUUAAUGAAGAAAAACCUUCAGCACACAAUAAGAAAAGGUAGGGAGACAGAGGAUCACCCCGUCUAAUGCCCCUACUUGGAUGAAAAACUGUAAAGGGAGAACCGUUAAUAACCAAGGAGUAUGAAAUAGAAGAUACACAUAACAUUAUUAGCUUUACAAAUGAAGUGAACCCCAUCUUAAGCAUAAUACGUUCCAGAAAAGGCCAUUCAAUUCUAUCCUAUGCCUUGCUCAUAUCUAACUUAAGAGCAAAACGCCCUGUUUACUUGUAACAUACUUCAGCAUUACUUAAAGAAGACUUUAUAUUCUACAAAGCUCCAUUAAAAAAUUCUGUACAAUCAAAUAAAUUGACGUGAACUCUCAGAAACUAAACAAAGCAACUAGAGAAUCAUGCUUUGGGGAAAAAAUAAAAACCAACAGCCAAAACAAACUUAACAACCAAGCUUUGGGAAAAAAAAAAUUCAACAGCCAAUAAUACAAAAAAUACUUGCAACAAAAUCAACCCUUCCAUCGCAAACUUGAAGAGGGAAGUUGUCGAAGACUGAAGCAUUGAAGCUAGAAAGAGAAGCCAUUGAAGAGUCGAAGGACUGAAUCCAUUGGGAAAGAGCGGUUGAAAUGAGAGAGACAAGAGCCGUCGAAGACUGAGAUCUGAGAAUCGAAGAUGGAAAACUUAGAUCCGAGAAUUGAAAACAAAAAACUGAGGGUGGGGAUAGAAAAUGAAUAGCCUCAUGAAACAAUCAACAAAACUAAGAAUGAAAUGCAGAAAGAAAUUGAGUGCGUACAUGGGAGAAGCCUAUGAACUGAAUAAGCAAAGGCUGUGAAGAGCAAGGAAGAUGAAGGGAAAAU